rnacentral:rRNA from 1 species
UGCCAGCAGAAGCGGUUAAACGAGUAAGCUCGAGGUUUAAUCCUCGGUAUAAAAGAUGGUUAUGCAAUAACCUGAGAAAUAAAAAGUGACCUUACAGUAAAAUGGAUAAUCACCUUCCUCUAUUUUCUCUCGAACGCAGAACCCAUGAAACUUCUAGGAGAAACUAGGAUUAGAGACCCUAUUAUCCAGAAGCUUAAACUGACUUUCUACCUGGGUACUACGAACAUUGUUUAAAACCCAAAGGGCUUGGCGGCCUUCAAUAGUACUAGGGGAACCUGUGUGGUAAUCGACACUCCACGUUAAUUCUCACCUUCUCUUGAAACCCUCAGUAUGUAUACCUCCGUCUUAACUCACCUUAAGAGCCUUGGAGUGAGUAAGAAGUAAAUAACUACUCCAUGACAGGUCAAGGUGCAGCCUAUGAGAAGGGUCAUCAUGGGUGACAAUUCACUAAAAGAUCAAUGGACUUCCCUUGGAAACAAGGGAAUGAAAAUGGACUUAGAAGUAAAGGUAUCUUUAGAAAAAUACCUUGAAAUACUCCCUAGAAGGUGCACAAAUCGCCCGUCACUCUCAUCGAAAGACGAGAAAAGUCGUAACACAGUA